GAGUUGAUCCUGGCUCAGGACGAACGCUGGCGGCAUGCCUAAUACAUGCAAGUUGAGCGCUGAAGGUUGGUACUUGUACCGACUGGAUGAGCAGCGAACGGGUGAGUAACGCGUGGGGAAUCUGCCUUUGAGCGGGGGACAACAUUUGGAAACGAAUGCUAAUACCGCAUAAAAACUUUAAACACAAGUUUUAAGUUUGAAAGAUGCAAUUGCAUCACUCAAAGAUGAUCCCGCGUUGUAUUAGCUAGUUGGUGAGGUAAAGGCUCACCAAGGCGAUGAUACAUAGCCGACCUGAGAGGGUGAUCGGCCACAUUGGGACUGAGACACGGCCCAAACUCCUACGGGAGGCAGCAGUAGGGAAUCUUCGGCAAUGGACGAAAGUCUGACCGAGCAACGCCGCGUGAGUGAAGAAGGUUUUCGGAUCGUAAAACUCUGUUGGUAGAGAAGAACGUUGGUGAGAGUGGAAAGCUCAUCAAGUGACGGUAACUACCCAGAAAGGGACGGCUAACUACGUGCCAGCAGCCGCGGUAA
rnacentral:rRNA from 1 species